rnacentral:lncRNA from 1 species
UCUAAUAAUUGAUGAUUUAGAUAGACGAUAAAUCGUUAUUCGUUAACAAUAUUUAACUUAUAAUUUUCACUAAUCGUCUAACAUACUAAAUUAACUCACUGGCCAUAUUGAAUAGCUAAUUUGGAUAAAAGGGUAUACCUUAGAUCAAAUGAUGUCAAAUGCUCAAAUUUGCGUGGUUAGAAAUUGAAGCAUGUAGUUUUGUUCAUACAAGGAGUAAGUGAACAACUCUCAGUCUUCGAAUUUCAUCUGAACAAUUCAAAACAAACAACAUAAAGAUUAAUAUAUUACGUGGUCUGAAUUAUGAUCACUUGAAGCAAAUAAGACUGCGAAUUUAUUUAUAGAUAUCAAGAAGAACUAUGACCAACCUGUGCUGAUUUUAAUUAAACUGUGGGGAGUAUUAGAUUUCUACCGUUGGAUGGGAAAGGAAGCGUUGAAGGUGAAAGAGAGGGAGAGACGCAGAAACAGAGACGGAGGAAGAAGCUCAGAAUAAACUGAUGGGCUAAUAUAAACCGGAUCCGAGCCCAAAUUGGAAAUCGAUUGGAGGAGCAUGGGUUACUUGAUUACGAGCCCGUUUGACUUAUAAUGACUGAAGGUAAC